rnacentral:miRNA from 1 species
UGUGGCCUCUGGGUGUGUACCCUCU